UACGAAGGGUGCAAGCGUUAAUCGGAAUUACUGGGCGUAAAGGGUGCGUAGGCGGUUCGUUAAGUCUGUUGUGAAAUCCCCGGGCUCAACCUGGGAAUGGCGAUGGAUACUGGCGAGCUAGAGUGUGUCAGAGGAUGGUGGAAUUCCCGGUGUAGCGGUGAAAUGCGUAGAGAUCGGGAGGAACACCAGUGGCGAAGGCGGCUAUCUGGGCUGGAACUGACGCUGAGGCGCGAAGGCUAGGGGAGCAAACAGG
rnacentral:rRNA from 1 species